UACGUAGGUGACUAGCGUUGUCCGGAUUUACUGGGCGUAAAGAGCGCGCAGGCGGUCGUUUAAGUCGAGUGUGAAAGCCCCCGGCUCAACUGGGGAGGGUCAUUCGAUACUGAUCGACUCGAAGGCAGGAGAGGGAAGCGGAAUUCCCGGUGUAGUGGUGAAAUGCGUAGAUAUCGGGAGGAACACCAGUGGCGAAGGCGGCUUCCUGGCCUGUUCUUGACGCUGAGGCGCGAAAGCUAGGGGAGCAAACGGG
rnacentral:rRNA from 1 species